rnacentral:rRNA from 1 species
AUUGAACGCUGGCGGCAGGCCUAACACAUGCAAGUCGAACGGUGGCACAGAGAGCUUGCUCUCGGGUGACGAGUGGCGGACGGGUGAGUAACGUCUGGGAAACUGCCCGAUGGAGGGGGAUAACUAAUGGAAACGGUAGCUAAUACCGCAUAACGUCGCAAGACCAAAGUGGGGGACCUUCGGGCCUCGCCCCAUCGGAUGUGGCCAGAUGGGAUUAGCUAGUAGGUGGGGUAAUGGCUCCCCUAGGCGACGAUCCCUAGCUGGUCUGAGAGGAUGACCAGCCACACUGGAACUGAGACACGGUCCAGACUCCUACGGGAGGCAGCAGUGGGGAAUAUUGCACAAUGGGCGCAAGCCUGUUGCAGCCAUGCCGCGUGUAUGAAGAAGGCCUUCGGGUUGUAAAGUACUUUCAGCGGGGAGGAAGGCGGUGAAGUUAAUAACUUCACCGAUUGACGUUACCCGCAGAAGAAGCACCGGCUAACUCCGUGCCAGCCGCCGCGGUAAUAC